ACACUUACCUGGCAAGGGAGAUACCAUGAUCACAAAGGUGGUUUUCUGAGGGCAAGGCUUAUCCAUUGCACUCUGGAUGUGCUGACCCUGCAAUUUCCCCAAAUGUGGGAAACUCGACUGCAUAAUUUGUGCUAAUGGGGGCAGGACAGGAGGAAAGCCCCAG
ensembl:snRNA U1 U1 spliceosomal RNA